rnacentral:rRNA from 1 species
CCUACGGGCGGCUGUAGUGAGGAAUAUUGGUCAAUGGACGAGAGUCUGAACCAGCCAAGUAGCGUGAAGGAUGACUGCCCUAUGGGUUGUAAACUUCUUUUAUAUGGGAAUAAAACGUUCCACGUGUGGGAUUUUGUAUGUACCAUAUGAAUAAGGAUCGGCUAACUCCGUGCCAGCAGCCGCUGUAAUACGGAGGAUCCGAGCGUUAUCCGGAUUUAUUGGGUUUAAAGGGAGCGUAGGUGGAUUGUUAAGUCAGUUGUGAAAGUUUGCGGCUCAACCGUAAAAUUGCAGUUGAAACUGGCAGUCUUGAGUACAGUAGAGGUGGGCGGAAUUCGUGGUGUAGCGGUGAAAUGCUUAGAUAUCACGAAGAACUCCGAUUGCGAAGGCAGUUCACUGGACUGCAACUGACACUGAGGCUCGAAAGUGUGGGUAUCAAACAGGAUUAGAUACCCCUGUAGUC